GCCUCGGCCUCCCAAAGUGCUGGGAUUACAGGCGUGAGCCACCGUGCCUGGCCAACCAUGUAAGUUUUCUACUCCAGGAGUGUAGGUCUGUGAUUGCAGUAUCCUGAGUAGAGCUGAUAACAUUUCCAGAAGUAGGGAAUAAUGGAGAGAGAAAAAAAUCUUAAUGGGAUGGGACCAUUUGAGGAGAGUAGGCUUUAUUUUUUUUAAACUCCAUUCUUAGCUACAAGACUUAAAAUUAUCUUCAGUUCUUCCAGCCUCUACAGCACUUGCUCUAAGGAGGGAAGCAGAUUUGGGUUUUCAGAGGCCAGGACCAAAGGGUCCAGUGAGCAGGCAGUCCUUUCCCUGGAGCGAGGUGUAGCCACUUCCUCCAAACCCAGCUUCCCUGUCCAGGCCCUGGCUCCCUGGUGGUUUUCUCUUGUCAAGCUUAGCUGGUCAGCCAGCUUUUUCCACUGUCUGCCCACCUGGCCUGUUGGAUAUUAGAAGAUCUCUAGAGCCAGAUGCUUGGGCCAAGAGUAAGGCCAGAGCCUGGAGACAGGCUGGGUGGGGCUCUGGUCAAGCAAGUAGGUCCAGUUCAGGGCAAGGGAGAGGCUCCAAAUGACUCCAAGUCCUGAAUCCUAGGAUGGUCCCCAACUGCUGUUCUCAGGAAAGAGGCCCCACAAUUUCUAAGUUGCCAAGAGCCAUAGGGCAGAUGUCUUAUGUCUGUUUUUUUGGGUUGUUUCUUGGUUGGGUAGAUGUUUCUGGAUGUAAAAGGACAGGGUGGGGGUGGUGACUGUGGUUUAUUGUCUUUUUACCUACAGAGAGCGGGGAGAGGCUUCCAGUUGGGCAACUUUUUUUCCCUGAAAAGGCCUGAAUCAGAAACACAGUUAAUAGGCCAGGUGCAGUGGCUUACACCUAUAAUCCCAACACUUUGGGAGACCAAGGUGGGAGGAUCACUUGAGCCCAGGAGUUUGAGACCAGCCUGGGCAACAUGGUGAGAACUUAGAGAGACGGGGUCUCGCUAUCUCACAGGUAGCUUGUUCUCUAGGACCAAGUGGCCUUCCUGGGAACUGGACUGGGGGAAGGCUGAGACUGGACUUUUCCUUGAGGUCUGGGGAGAUGCAAGAUUGUUGGAAUGAGCUUGGGAGCUUGGCUCACCCCACCCUGGGUGAUUGUUACCAGAAAUUGAAUGACCCUCUUAUAUGUUUCUUCCCACACAGAAACAUGAUGCUGACAAUGGCCCUAAUCUUACAGGUGAAACCAAGUGAGUGUCUCCUAUUGGGGCAGCAGCCUCUAGGCCAAGGGAGUCAGGAAGGCCACUGCCCAUGACCUUCUUUCCCAUCAAGCCACUUGCACCCGUGACCCAUGUCUCCACCCCUAGGACUUUCUCAUUGACCAAGAGCCUGCAGUAACUCUACCAACAGCUCAAUGGUGUUGCCUCUGAGGUACCUCAGAAAUUGAAGCCCAGAGUGGGGUGCAGGGGCAAGGAAAGUAUGAUAGAAAGAAACUGAGGCAGGGUUUUGCAAGAGAGGACAGAUCCUGGGAGCAGCUGAUUUGCUGCUGGGCAAUGUUGAGGAAGUCGCCUUUUCCCUUAGCCUUCUCCCUUGAAGCUGUUCACGUGAAGGAGUUGGACCACAUGACUGGUUGCAUCAUUUUUUGCUGCAGAAGCACCAGAUGAGAGCUGCUCUGAAGGGAGGGAUGGUGGGGAGAUAAGAACUGUGAGAGAAUUUGGUACAAAAGAGUUAUGGAAUGAAGGGUUCAAGAUAGGCAGAAAAGAAAAUAUUGCCAGUUGCUGGGGAAGAAAGGAGGUCAUAGGGCUUAGACACUGAGGGGCAGAACAUUUCCAUGCGCACUCUCAUCUUUUGUAGUCAGCAACAGGUAUCCACUGGGAGGGCCCUGCAUCAUCGUGUUAAGAAUAAAAAGUUCCUCUUCAAAGUUUCCCUUUUUAAAAACAGUAAGUGUUAAGAAGAACAACAGUUCCUUUUAAAAACUUCUUUCAAGUUUUCUUUUCUUUUUAUGCUACAAACUAAUAAAUCUUUUAGUUUACUAAUGACUCUUUGUUAUGCCCUGGGUAGCUGUUAAAUAUAGUAGAGAAAUAAGUGUAUUCUAUGUUUCUAUGUCCUUAUAUUUUAAACAAAGCCUAAGUUGUUUAUUCUAGUUUCUAGUCUGCCUAGAUAUGCUUGGACAUGCCCAGGCAUGUCCCAGCUUGUAGCCUAUGCCUUUUCCUUAUUUGGAAAUGUUAUUAUUAUCCCAGUUUCCUGUACGUAACCCCCUCCCUUUCUUUGUUCUCCAUUGUGCCGUUACCUAUUUAGGAAAGUUUUAAGAUUUUAGCCAGUCAGAAUCAGUUUAGAUUGUGAGUUCCAGCUCCAGCCAAUGGAGAUAGGACACAGCAGUACGGUCCUGAUGCAUCAGGGAUAAAAACUCCUGCUUUCCUUUGUUUGGUGUGCUUUCAAGGCAAUCUGGCUUGCAAACAGGAUCCUUCUGCAGAAGUAAAAUUGCCUUGCUGAGAAAUCUUUUGUUUGUGUUUUCGUGUUCCUUACGACUCUGAAUUUUCAUUUCUAACAAUCUGCUACCCUGAAGAAUCUGGACGUAAGAGGGCCUGGGCCCUCUGGGCCAGCCCUCAAACCUCCUCCCACAGUGGGGGUUGGAUGACCCUCUGCCCGCUAAGACAUCCCAACAGCUCCCAGCCCUAAUGAUUACCCUUUCUGACUCUCCCCACAGUCCUCCUCCAGCUCCUCCUCUCUGCGUGCAUUUCAGAGCUGUUAUCAAGAGGUAACUGUACCCUGGACUCCAGCUAUCUAACAAACAAUCAACUCAAUAGAAUAACUGAGAAAUAGUUAAGAGUCCAGUAGGGUCUCCUGGUUCCACUCUGCCAAUCUGGGCUCCAGUUUCCCCUUGGGGCCCUGAAGAAAGGGGCUAGGAGCACCCAGUGCCAAGGGCAAAUGGGGAGCUGGGGGGCCCAGGUCUCAGCUGGAGGGACCCCAGAUCAUGGAGCAUGCAUCAUGGCUCUUCUGUUGCUGCCCUCUUUGCCUACUGUCUCUUCUCCAGACAUGCCUGCUCCAGUCACUGCCAGACAUGCCUUGGGAUUGUUGCCUCUUGGGGAAGUGCUAGUCUGACUGGUUGUCAGGAACUCCAUAUUUCUGCCCUGACUCAGUCCCUAAUUUGCUCUUUGAUUCUGGACAAGCCACCUCUCCUCCUUGGGCUUGCGUUUCUCAAGGAGGUGGAGAGUAUCAAAAGUCUCUGCUAGCUCUGAGAGUCCAAGAUUUAAAGGUCUACUAGAAUGUAAACCUCAGGGCCAAGGGAUCCUGUCUGAAUCUAUAGGAUUCUUUUCCAUCCUAUAUCCCUGCUAUGAAGAAUUGUACCUGGCCCGUAUGUGCUUAGCCAAUGUUGAAUGAAUGCACUUUCUAAAUCACAAGCUGGCAGAAUGGUGGGCUUUUCUCAGACUCCAUCUAUAGACGUCACUGGUAGAAGGUCGUGACUACAAGUUGUCCAGGUUCUUGGAAUUUUGAACAAAGAAUUGGACAAAACGCCUAGCAAAUCAAAGAAAGAAUGAAGCAACAAAAGAACCAAAGCAGGAAUUUAUUGAAAACAAAAGUACACUCCACAGUGUGGGAGUGGGCCUGAGCAGCAGCUCAGGGGCCUGGAUACAGAAUCUUCCUGGUCCAAAUACCCACCAGAAUUUUCCCAUCGGCCACUUCAUGCUCACCUCAUGUAACUGAAAUGGUAGCCGCAAUCAGUCUGAUUGGUUGCAGAAAGCAGCCAACCAGAGGCUGAAGUGAAGUUACAAAAGUCACACUCCUGUGCAAACAAUCUGAUGAGUUGCAAAAAGCAACCAAUCAGAGGCUAGGAUGAAGUUACAAAGUUAUACUUCUUUGCAAAUGAAGACUUGACCAGCAAUCAGUCUUACUUGUUGCAGACAGCCAAUUUCCCAUCUGCCUCACAGAAAAGGUCAGAGGUAGUAGCCUCUGGUUCUUUGUUACUUAGACAUGGAAAGUUAGGGUUUUCUUUUCAUUUUGGUUCUAGGAAGUCAGAGCGAAAGAGCCUUAGGUUCCCUGCCUCCAGACCCUAUUUUCCUGCCUCAUAGAGGUUUAUGUCACUGUCCUUUUGAGAGAAUCCAGAUUCAGACUUUCAGUUCUGUGGCUGUGGGCCAAAACCAACAAAGACCCAAAUCCUCUGUCCUUGGGAGCUUGAGGAGAGUUUACCAGUUCAUGAUCCUAGUGGGUCUGAGAACUUUGCCUUUAAAAUCCACUCCUGGCCCCUGCCUACUGCUUCAUGGCCUGGGGAAUAGAGUGGAGGGGGCCACCCUUGGUCACCUUCCUUUGACUCUCCCAAGGAAACAGCACAACCAAGAAAUUGUGGAUCAACUAGAAUCACACUAGUAAUGUAAUUUCUUUGCUCACAGCAUGACUGCUGGGUUUGGGGGGCACUCAGAUGUAGAGGUGCUAGUCUCGUCUUGCUGACCCCCAGCCUGGGAAGAAGGCUCACCCCCCAGGUUCCACCUCAUCCCCACAGGGUCCCUGAUAACCUGGUCCCAUGGGUGGGCCUGUCCUGGGGCAUUGGUGGAAUUCUGGGGGCAUGUCUUUGCUGUGCCAUCUCUGCCUCCCCCUAGUAAGAGCUCUGUCUUCCUCUUCCUAUAGGAAAAGCAAGAAAGCCAGCAAAACCAGGGAACCCUAAAGAGGCAGUUAGAGGUGAGUGGAGGGUGUGAAGUUCCCUCCUGUCCUCUGGAGAAUGUUGCUUUCCUUCUCUUUCAGCACUUGCUUGGCUUUUCUCCCAAAGGUUCAAAUUCAGAGAACCAACAAACUGAUGUCUGAGAAAGGAAAAUUAAAUACUGAACUGUAUCAUAUGCAACGUGCUGCCAGGCACUUUGAAGGUGGGAAUCUGGGCACCCUGUCAUCCUUCAACCUGGUGCUUUGAUAGGCCUUUGGACCCCAUCUCAACCUCUCUCAUUUCAGGAGAGUCCAUGGAUCUGGCCAGCGGCCUGCAGUAUUCCCAGCAGUGUGUGGGAGAGUUGUAAUGGACUCUUUGCUGUCUCCAUGCAGCAGAAGAACAUGGACAGUGUGAGUCCUACCGCCUGCCCCAUCCCUUGGCAGCCCAGCUUCCCAGGUGGAGGAGUGAGGGACCUUUAGGUCCCUUCUGCAGGAUGGAGUGUCCUGCCCAGAAAGCAGCAUGGGCCAUUUCUCAUUGUUUUUGUGUGUGGUUGUUAGAGGCAGCCUGCGGCUGAGUUGGCUGCUGUGGAUGAGUUGGGGAGUGCUGUGGGGAGCAAGCAGAGCUUGGACGUGGAGCACUGGAUGCAGAGCUUAGAGGCCAAGUGCCUACCCUGCCUUCACUUGGCUGUGGCCUUAGCCAAAUCCUAGGUGUGGGAUAUGGUACUUGCACUGUGAAAGUACAGAAGAGUAUCUUUAGUAUGUUACCAUUUGUGGAGAGAGAAGGACCGUGUGUGUGUGUGUGUGUGUGUGUGUGUGUGUGUGUGUUGUGUGUAAGUACUAUGACAAUAUACAUAAAACAUGCUUGAAAGUGGUCUCAGAGCCAGACUGGGUCUGGCUGCGUUUUCUUGAGGCUCAAAAAUGAGAAGCAAACUAGGAAAGAAGGGGAUUUAUUGCUGUAACUGGAUACAGAGAGAAGGCUGGAGAUAACUCCACCAGACCAACUCGAAAUGUUACAGUAUUCUUAGUGUUUAUAUAGGUUGGGGUUAUGUGUCUACGUACAGUAUAGCAUUCGCCUAAGUCCACUGAUAACUAAUUUUGUUUCAACUAGAAGGUCAGAGGCAAAAAAUGCUUGCUAAGUCUGAUUAAGCUGUGAGGGCCCUGGUACCUUCAAGGUCUGUCUACUGUGGUACCUGAAUGAUUAUUUCUAUCUUACCUCCCUUACAGCUUGGUCUGGAGACUGCCUUAGACCCUCCGAUGAAUCUAUUCAAACAGCUGCCUCUGUUACCUUGACUCGUCUCAGAUUCCGUCGACCCGAGACAAGGAAUAUAAGACUGUCUCUAUUAUUUUGACUUGCUCCAGUAUAUCAAGGAGGUAACCAAAGACAGAGAUGCCCUCAGGCUGGAGUCAUACAAGAAUAGCCAAAACAACGAGGACCGGAAGCAGAAGAACUCAGAACUAGAAGAGAAGCUUCAAGUCCUAGUGACCGAAGAUUUCGACUCAAUCUGAAGCAACUGCAAAGGAAGCUGGAGAGGGCUAAGAUCCUGCUUCUGGCAAGAGGCUGCAGCCCCAGGGGUGGUGGGAGCCCCAUCCAGCUGGGGACAUGGUCUAGGGAUCAUGCAGGUUAUGGGGAGGCUCCAGCCAAGAGCCGGAAAAUUUGGGUCCUUGUUCUGGUCCUGCCAUAGAAUCCUCUAGAGACUGCUAAAAAUCUACAAACUGGGCCCUGCCAUAGACCUGGGGAACCAGAAUCUCAGGGUUAGGGCUUAAAUUUGUUUUAAAUGCAUCAUGGAUGAAAACCAUUAUUAUAUAGAUUAUACUUAUAUGGCUAGCUCAUGAGCCUGUUUAUUUCCUUCUGAGGUUCAAGCCAACACUUCAACUAUUCCACGGUGAUAAUAGAUAGCAGAGUUUUUGUUUGUUUGUUUUUUUCUUGGGAUGGGGCCUCCCUCUAUCACUAGGGCUGGAGUGCAGUGGCAUGACCUCGGCUCACUGCAACCUCCACCUCCCAGGCUCAAGCGAUCCUC
rnacentral:lncRNA from 1 species